CAGUUCGCAAGAGUCGUAGCUCGAAACGAAUGUCCACGGAGCAUCACCUGCCUGUUCACGUUUCAAAUCGAUUUUUCCCAUUUAGCGACACCCCCAAUAAGAAGACAACUCUGGUAUCAUGAAUGGAUGAAGUGUCCAGAGCUGCUGACCCCGGAACAUGACGUGCAGGGGAGCUGAUGACGGACAAAGUGAAGCCGCAAUCCCAGUAUAGAAGAGGAGCAGUGCAUGGUGGGAGAUGUCCAUGUGUUCCCGACGGACCCCUCCUCAGCAGAGGAGAUGACGCGCUAUGGUAAGCAUCUGAUCCAUU